UACGGAGGGGGUUAGCGUUGUUCGGAAUGACUGGGCGUAAAGCGCGUGUAGGCGGGAGAUUAAGUUGGGUGUGAAAGCCCGGGGCUCAACCCCGGGAUGCCGCCCAAGACUGGUCUCCUUGAGGACGGAAGAGGGGAGUGGAAUUCCUGGUGUAGCGGUGAAAUGCGCAGAUAUUGGGAAGAACACCAGUGGCGAAGGCGGUUCUCUGGGACGGUACUGACGCUGAGACGCGAAAGCGUGGGGAGCGAACAGG
rnacentral:rRNA from 1 species